CCUGGUCUCAUGUGGUGAAUAGA
rnacentral:miRNA from 10 species